rnacentral:lncRNA from 1 species
CUGGGCCCCUGUCAGCUCCCCAGGAGCAGUGCGUGCUGUGGAGGAGCCCUCCUGGUCAAGGCCAGAGACCAAAGGAAAGCCGUGCACAAACUCAGACCCAUGUCAGAAAGGAGUUUCCCCCAACCCUGGUGGAAAAGAGAAUACCACGGAAAACGCUUCUUCUCCCGGUUCCUAGAGAAGCUGCAUGCAGGGGCUCUCCUUCAAGAGUGUGCAUUCUUUGAUGAAAGUACAAGGAAAGAAGAACAAAGUCACUAAGUGAAAAUUGUUAUUGUUCCCACCACCAGUCCAGGAGCCCAGCAGGCCCUUGGGUAUGGAACCG